UACGAAGGGGGCUAGCGUUGCUCGGAAUCACUGGGCGUAAAGCGCACGUAGGCGGAUUGCUAAGUCAGGGGUGAAAUCCUGGAGCUCAACUCCAGAACUGCCUUUGAUACUGAAGAUCUUGAGUUCGGGAGAGGUGAGUGGAACUGCGAGUGUAGAGGUGAAAUUCGUAGAUAUUCGGAAGAACACCAGUGGCGAAGGCGACUUACUGGUCCAUUACUGACGCUGAGGCUCGAAAGCGUGGGGAGCAAACAGG
rnacentral:rRNA from 1 species